rnacentral:rRNA from 1 species
GACAGAGGGUGCAAACGUUGCUCGGAAUUACUGGGCGUAAAGGGCGCGUAGGCGGCCUGCUAAGUCGAACGUGAAAUCCCCGAGCUCAACUCGGGAACUGCGUCCGAUACUGGCAGGCUUGAAUCCGGGAGAGGGAUGCGGAAUUCCAGGUGUAGCGGUGAAAUGCGUAGAUAUCUGGAGGAACACCGGUGGCGAAGGCGGCAUCCUGGACCG